AUGGAUGAUGAUGAUCAUCAAGAGGAGGCGCCGGAGCAGGUGAAGCUUUUUGGCAUGUGGGCAAGCCCCUACGUCCUCAAGGUGAGAUGGGCGCUGAGCAUCAAGGGCGUGGAGUACGAGUACGUGGAGGAGGACCUGAGGAACAAGAGCCACGACCUCCUGGAGCACAACCACGUGCACAAGAAAGUCCCCGUGCUGCUCUACCGCGGCAUACCGGUGGCGGAAUCCGACGUCAUCGUCGAGUUCGUCGACGAGGCGUGGAGCCACCGCGGCGGCCGCAUCCUCCCCGACGACCCCCACGAGCGCGCCAUGGCCCGCUUCUGGGUGAGGUUCGUGCACGACAAGCCUGAGCUACAAAGGAACUUUACCCAGAUGAUUCCUGGAGGAGUUGAUCGCCGUCGGCGGCAAGGAUUUCUUUGCCGGGGAGAGCGUCGAGCUCGUGGAUCUGUCGCUCGGUGCGUUGGCGUACGUGGUCCCGAUGUACGAGGAGAUCAUCGGCGUGAGGCUGGUCACCGAGGAGAGGUUCCCGUCUCUGUCAGCGUGGAUGGGGCGAUUCUUGGACUCGCCGCCGGUGAAGGAUCACCCGCCGCUAGUGGAGAGGCUGAAACCCAGGUACCGAGCCAUGCGUGA
rnacentral:rRNA from 1 species